GGGUUGUGAGGUUAAGCGACUAAGCGUACACGGUGGAUGCCCUGGCAGUCAGAGGCGAUGAAGGGCGUGCUAAUCUGCGAUAAGCGCCGGUAAGGUGAUAUGAACCGUUAUAACCGGCGAUACCCGAAUGGGGAAACCCAGUGUGACUCGUCACACUAUCAUUAACUGAAUCCAUAGGUUAAUGAGGCGAACCGGGGGAACUGAAACAUCUAAGUACCCCGAGGAAAAGAAAUCAACCGAGAUUCCCCCAGUAGCGGCGAGCGAACGGGGAGGAGCCCAGAGCCUGAAUCAGCAUAUGUGUUAGUGGAAGCGUCUGGAAAGGCGCGCGAUACAGGGUGACAGCCCCGUACACAAAAGCGCAUGUGCUGUGAGCUCGAUGAGUAGGGCGGGACACGUGGUAUCCUGUCUGAAUAUGGGGGGACCAUCCUCCAAGGCUAAAUACUCCUGACUGACCGAUAGUGAACCAGUACCGUGAGGGAAAGGCGAAAAGAACCCCGGCGAGGGGAGUGAAAAAGAACCUGAAACCGUGUACGUACAAGCAGUGGGAGCACCCUUUGGGGUGUGACUGCGUACCUUUUGUAUAAUGGGUCAGCGACUUAUAUUCUGUAGCAAGGUUAACCGAAUAGGGGAGCCGGAGGGAAACCGAGUCUUAAUUGGGCGUUAAGUUGCAGGGUAUAGACCCGAAACCCGGUGAUCUAGCCAUGGGCAGGUUGAAGGUUGGGUAACACUAACUGGAGGACCGAACCGACUAAUGUUGAAAAAUUAGCGGAUGACCUGUGGCUGGGGGUGAAAGGCCAAUCAAACCGGGAGAUAGCUGGUUCUCCCCGAAAGCUAUUUAGGUAGCGCCUCGUGAAUUCAUCAGGAUGUUGGCUUAGAAGCAGCCAUCAUUUAAAGAAAGCGUAAUAGCUCACUGGUCGAGUCGGCCUGCGCGGAAGAUGUAACGGGGCUAAACCAUGCACCGAAGCUGCGGCAGCGACGCUGAUGCGUUGUUGGGUAGGGGAGCGUUCUGUAAGCCUGCGAAGGUGGCCUGUGAGGGUUGCUGGAGGUAUCAGAAGUGCGAAUGCUGACAUAAGUAACGAUAAAGCGGGUGAAAAGCCCGCUCGCCGGAAGACCAAGGGUUCCUGUCCAACGUUAAUCGGGGCAGGGUGAGUCGACCCCUAAGGCGAGGCCGAAAGGCGUAGUCGAUGGGAAACGGGUUAAUAUUCCCGUACUUGGUGUUACUGCGAAGGGGGGACGGAGAAGGCUAUGUUGGCCGGGCGACGGUUGUCCCGGUUUAAGCGUGUAGGUGUGUGUUCCAGGUAAAUCCGGUUCACUUUAACACUGAGGCGUGAUGACGAGGCACUACGGUGCUGAAGCAACAAAUGCCCUGCUUCCAGGAAAAGCCUCUAAGCAUCAGGUAACAUCAAAUCGUACCCCAAACCGACACAGGUGGUCAGGUAGAGAAUACCAAGGCGCUUGAGAGAACUCGGGUGAAGGAACUAGGCAAAAUGGUGCCGUAACUUCGGGAGAAGGCACGCUGACACGUAGGUGAAGUGAUUUACUCAUGGAGCUGAAGUCAGUCGAAGAUACCAGCUGGCUGCAACUGUUUAUUAAAAACACAGCACUGUGCAAACACGAAAGUGGACGUAUACGGUGUGACGCCUGCCCGGUGCCGGAAGGUUAAUUGAUGGGGUCAGCGCAAGCGAAGCUCCUGAUCGAAGCCCCGGUAAACGGCGGCCGUAACUAUAACGGUCCUAAGGUAGCGAAAUUCCUUGUCGGGUAAGUUCCGACCUGCACGAAUGGCGUAAUGAUGGCCAGGCUGUCUCCACCCGAGACUCAGUGAAAUUGAACUCGCUGUGAAGAUGCAGUGUACCCGCGGCAAGACGGAAAGACCCCGUGAACCUUUACUAUAGCUUGACACUGAACAUUGAGCCUUGAUGUGUAGGAUAGGUGGGAGGCUUUGAAGUGUGGACGCCAGUCUGCAUGGAGCCGGCCUUGAAAUACCACCCUUUAAUGUUUGAUGUUCUAACGUGGACCCGUGAUCCGGGUUGCGGACAGUGUCUGGUGGGUAGUUUGACUGGGGCGGUCUCCUCCUAAAGAGUAACGGAGGAGCACGAAGGUUGGCUAAUCCUGGUCGGACAUCAGGAGGUUAGUGCAAUGGCAUAAGCCAGCUUGACUGCGAGCGUGACGGCGCGAGCAGGUGCGAAAGCAGGUCAUAGUGAUCCGGUGGUUCUGAAUGGAAGGGCCAUCGCUCAACGGAUAAAAGGUACUCCGGGGAUAACAGGCUGAUACCGCCCAAGAGUUCAUAUCGACGGCGGUGUUUGGCACCUCGAUGUCGGCUCAUCACAUCCUGGGGCUGAAGUAGGUCCCAAGGGUAUGGCUGUUCGCCAUUUAAAGUGGUACGCGAGCUGGGUUUAGAACGUCGUGAGACAGUUCGGUCCCUAUCUGCCGUGGGCGCUGGAGAACUGAGGGGGGCUGCUCCUAGUACGAGAGGACCGGAGUGGACGCAUCACUGGUGUUCGGGUUGUCAUGCCAAUGGCACUGCCCGGUAGCUAAAUGCGGAAGAGAUAAGUGCUGAAAGCAUCUAAGCACGAAACUUGCCCCGAGAUGAGUUCUCCCUGAGACUU
rnacentral:rRNA from 1 species